AGCGAACGCUGGCGGCAGGCCUAACACAUGCAAGUCGAACGAACCUUUCGGGGUUAGUGGCGGACGGGUGAGUAACACGUGGGAACGUGCCUUUAGGUUCGGAAUAACUCAGGGAAACUUGUGCUAAUACCGAAUGUGCCCUUCGGGGGAAAGAUUUAUCGCCUUUAGAGCGGCCCGCGUCUGAUUAGCUAGUUGGUUGAGGUAAUGGCUCACCAAGGCGACGAUCAGUAGCUGGUCUGAGAGGAUGAUCAGCCACAUUGGGACUGAGACACGGCCCAAACUCCUACGGGAGGCAGCAGUGGGGAAUCUUGCGCAAUGGGCGAAAGCCUGACGCAGCAUGCCGCGUGAAUGAUGAAGGUCUUAGGAUUGUAAAAUUCUUUCACCGGGGACGAUAAUGACGGUACCCGGAGAAGAAGCCCCGGCUAACUUCGUG
rnacentral:rRNA from 1 species